UACGAAGGGGGCUAGCGUUGCUCGGAAUCACUGGGCGUAAAGGGUGCGUAGGCGGGUCUUUAAGUCAGGGGUGAAAUCCUGGAGCUCAACUCCAGAACUGCCUUUGAUACUGAAGGUCUUGAGUUCGGGAGAGGUGAGUGGAACUGCGAGUGUAGAGGUGAAAUUCGUAGAUAUUAGGAAGAACACCAGUGGCGAAGGCGGCUCACUGGCCCGGUACUGACGCUGAGGCGCGAAAGCGUGGGGAGCAACAGG
rnacentral:rRNA from 1 species